CCUUGGGACUUUCAGAAAAAUUUUAAACAUGAUUAGUCCUUUUGAGCCAUUGGGACCUACUCUUAUGCUGCUCUGUGAGACUGAUGGCCGGGUGUCAGCCUAGUUGGCUUGAAUCAGUGAGUUAUUUUAUAUGAUGCAGAUAGCAAUUCAUUACAUAGUUUGAGCUGUUCAGGUUUUGUUUUACUAACAUUUCAUCACACACCAUCAGGGGAUCACUCUGGAAUAGUCCUGCCGAAAUACAAAUAGGUGUGAAAUGGGCCUCUAUAUGUCUUUGACUCGUGUCAGGGCCAUGUACAAAUCUUGUACACCAACCAUGGACCAUUUCACUUGCCUUCAUUUUCAAUUAAAAAGGUUAAAUUAGGUCAGCACAUGAAGAAAGAUGUUUAGUUAUGUAGGACUUACUGUAGUAGAAAAUAAAAUAAACUUCCUGCGUUCUAAACUUCACAUCCUGUCAAUGGAGGAAACAGAUCCAGAAAUUGGUUGGUGGCAGAGAUGUGAUAUGGAACCAGAAAAACCUGACUCCUAGGUAGAACUCUUUAUGCUGCUCCAUUCUUUUAUUUCAUAAUAGAAAUGGAACUCCUGAGAUGUGAAAGUAAGAUACAUGGAGUGAGAAGUGAAUGACGGGAAGAAACUAAAUUUGGUUGAGAAAGCCUUAAAACAGGAAGUUCUCAGAAAACAACUAUUUAACCAUCUCAUUGCUUAAAAAAAAAAAAAGCAAAAUAAAAAUCAACUUAUUUCAUGCCAGAUAUAUCUCUGGUAAACCGCCAAAGCCUGGAAUCUCUAUCAUCAAGGAGCACUAAGCCCAAACGGACUUUGAUCAAAACAUGGAAUGUGGCCUAAAUGCGGAAAGUGGGAAUCAUUAUCUUACCGCGAUCUGUGUGAGUGGUGACUCAGAGGGGACACUCCUCCCUUGAACCCAGUCACCAUGUUGUGAGGCAGCCUGGAGCAUGUGGAGAGGCUGGAUGUAGGUGUUUUAGUGACCUGCCCAGCUGACUUCUCAGCACACAGACAGCAUCAAGAGCCUGGAAUGUGAGUGAGUGAUUAUAAACCGAACAUUCAAACCAUUCCAACAGACACUGAGUGAAGCAGAGACAGGCUCUUCCCACCAAGCUCUACCCAAAUCACAAAUUUAUGUUGUUGUUUAAAGACAUUAACUUUGAGGAUGGUUUCUUCCACAGAAAUAGCUCACAGGAACACAGUAACUACCUUAUAGUGUUGUUGUGAAUAUUGUUAGCAUAAGUAAAACACUUAGAAGAGUUUCUAGUGUAUAUAAAGCACCACGAAUGUGUUAGCUAUUUUUAUUGUUGUUUUUGUCAUGUUAUUAAUUAUUAUGGCAAUAACCUAAAGUCAUUUUGUAAGGUUACUUAACAUUUUUUGGUCCCUAGAUACUUACACUUGAAGUUUAAAGGCAAUCGAGAAAUUUGCUAGGUUUAUGUGGCAUGCCAGGCAGAUUUAGAUCUAUUUUAUUUUAUAGUUCUAUUAUAAUGAAGAAACAAAUAUAUUCUGUAGAUUUCUGAGUGAAAGCAGAGUUUUAGGUUUUGCAUAUUUAGAUAUAGGUUGAACUGUAAGCUGUAUAUUGCCAGGAAUUAACUUCUAUCUUGUUCACUAUUCUAGCACUAGUGUACAGCGAAGGAACUAGACA